rnacentral:rRNA from 1 species
CAAUAGCGUAUACUAAAGUUGUUGCGAUUAAAAAGCUCGUAGUUGGAUCUCAGGCAUGGGCGCACGGUCCGCCUCGCGGCGGUCACUGUGUGUUUUGUUUCCCAUCCUACGCUUCCCGGUUAUCAGCCCAUGGUGCUCUUCACUGAGCGUUUUGGGUGGCCGGAACGUUUACUUUGAAGCAAUUAGAGUGUUCAAAGCAGGCACGUUGCCUGAAUAAUGGUGCAUGGAAUAAUGGAAUAGGACCUCGGUUCUAUUUUGCUGGUUUUCGGAACACGAGGUAAUGAUUAAGAGGGACAGACGGGGGCAUCCGUAUUGCGGUGUUAGAGGUGAAAUUCUUGGAUCAUCGCAAGACGAACAACUGCGAAAGCAUUUGCCAAGCAUGUUUUCAUUAG